rnacentral:lncRNA from 1 species
CGGAGCCUCAGGCCAAGCUUGUGUCCCUGAAGCCCAGACUGCUUUGGUGGGCAAACCAGGCACAGAUUGGCACAGGGACAUCAAGGGCGACUCCAAGGGCCUCCUGCCCUGCGGGGUGUGUCUCCAGUGGAAGGGUUUAGCCAGGUCCUGCUUGUGGCUGGGGAGGGCUGGAGGGCUGUGGGUGUUUGGCUGGGACCUAGAGACAAGAGAGGGCUCCACCUCCCAGGUUCUUGGAGGACUGAAAAGAUAUGCCAUCUCGAAAUACGUCAAGUUGGCAUAGGAAUCAUUCGCAGCUAAAAUUGCUUGAGAAACACACACUUCACAAAAAGGGCAUUAGCGCACAUCUGUAAUUCCAGCAGCUGAGGAGGCUGAGGCAGGAGGAUCACAAGUUGGAGGCCAGCCUCAGCAAUGGCAAGGCAGCUCAGUGAGACCCUGUCUCUAAAUAAAAUACAAAAUAGGGCUGGGGAGGGGGCUCAGGAGUCGAGAACCCCCGAGUUCAAUCCCUGGUACCCAAAAAGAAAAAAAAACAUUCGUUUUGUGUGUGUUGUCUCACGCCUAUAAUUUCAGGCAGCUUGGGAGGCUGAGGCGGGAGGAUGAAAGUUGGAGGCCAGCCUCAGCCACUUAGUGAGGCCCUAAGCAACUCAGCGAGACCCUGUCUCUAAAUAAAAUUUUUAAAAGGCUGGGGACGGGGCUCAGGGGUUAAGCGUCCCUGGGUUCAAUCCCUGGCACAAAAAAAAAAAGACUUUUCUGUGUUUUUCUGCAAAACACCA